GUGCUCAAUUCAGCAGCACAUACACUAAAAUUGGAACAAUACCGAGAAAAUUAGCAUAGCCCCUGCCCAGGGAUGACACACAGAUGCGUGAAGCAUUCCAUAUUUGU